rnacentral:rRNA from 1 species
UACGAAGGGGCACAGCGUUGUCGUCGAUUACUGGGCGUAAAGGGCGCGUAGGCGGACAUUUAAGUUAGAGGUGAAAGCCCAGGGCUCAACCCUGGAAUAGCCUUUAAUACUGGAUGUCUUGAGUUCGGGAGAGGUGAGUGGAAUGCCGAGUGUAGAGGUGAAAUUCGUAGAUAUUCGGCGGAACACCAGUGGCGAAGGCGACUCACUGGCCCGAUACUGACGCUGAGGCGCGAAAGCGUGGGAGCAAACAGG